rnacentral:RNase_P_RNA from 1 species
UGAGUCGACCCAGGUGGCCGCGGCGUUGGGACUCUGUGUAAAAGCAGCGUCUACGGCGUCGAGGAAGGUCGGGGCUCCAUAGGGCAGGGUGCUGGCGUGAAGCCAGGCGUUGCGAGACGACGGAAAGUGCAACAGAAAGUAAACCGCCGAUGGGCCGGGAAACCGGUCACAGGCAAGGGUGAAACGGUGCGGUAAGAGCGCACCAGCGUCCCGGGCGACCGGGCGGCUAGGUAAACCCCACCCGGAGCAAGGUCGAGCAGGGAUCGGACAGCCCGUCCAAUGAUCCCGGGUAGACCGCAUAGAUGGAUGGCCACCCAAGCGGCACAUUGUGCCGCCGGACAGAACCCCGCCUACGGCGGUCGGCUCACCGC